rnacentral:rRNA from 1 species
GUGCCAGCCGCCGCGGUAAGACGAACCGUCCAAACGUUGUUCGGAAUCACUGGGCUUAAAGGGCGCGUAGGCGGAUGCUCAAGUCGGUGGUGAAAUCUUUCGGCUCAACCGGAAAAGUGCCGCCGAUACUGGGGAUCUCGAGGGAGGUAGGGGUCGAGGGAACUUCCGGUGGAGCGGUGAAAUGCGUAGAUAUCGGAAGGAACGCCGGUGGCGAAAGCGCUCGACUGGACCUCUUCUGACGCUGAGGCGCGAAAGCCAGGGGAGCAAACGGGAUUAGAUACCCUUGUAGUCC